AACGAACGCUGGCGGCAUGGAUUAGGCAUGCAAGUCGAACGGUGCAGCAAUGCAUAGUGGCGCAAGGGUGAGGAACGCGUGAGUAAUCUACCCUCAAGUUGGGAACAGCUUCUGGAAACGGAAAUUAAUACCGAAUGUGACCAUUGGGAGGCAUCUUUUAAUGGUUAAAGGCCGCAAGGUCGCUUGAGGAGGGGCUCGCGUCCCAUUAUGCUAGUUGGUGAGGUAACGGCCUUCCAAGGCGACGAUAGUUACCCGGCCUGAGAGGGUGAACGGGCACAUUGGGACUGAGAUACGGCCCAGACUCCUACGGGAGGCAGCAGCUAAGAAUAUUCCGCAAUGGAGGAAACUCUGACGGAGCGACGCCGCGUGGACGAUGAAGGCCGGAAGGUUGUAAAGUCCUUUUAGAUAUGAGGAAUAAGCAGUGUGAGAGAAACGCACUGUGGUGACUGUAGUAUCAGAUAAGGGCGGCUAAUUACGUGCCAGCAGCCGCGGUACACGUAGCCCGAGCGUUGUUCGGAUAUUGGGGCGUAAAGGCAUGUAGCGCUUUCAGUCUGGGUGGGAAAGGCAGGAGCUUAACACCGACUGCCUGAAUGCAUGCUUGGUUCUUAUGGACCGAUCCUCGCGUGGGGUGGAUCUGAUUCGGAAACAUCAAGGGUGCCGUAAUGACUAUGCAGUGUGGGAAGGAUACCGUCCGAAAUACUCCUCUGCAU
rnacentral:rRNA from 1 species